GCGCCCGUAGCUCAACUGGAUAGAGCGCUACCCUCCGGAGGUAGAGGUUACAGGUUCGACCCCUGUCGGGCGCA
rnacentral:tRNA from 1 species